GAAAUUGAUUGAAUCGUCUGGCUUUCGAAAUUUGUUUCUUUUUAAGUAAAGUUGUUUAGUGUAACAAAAGCCAAUCAUUUUUAAACAUGUACAUUGUAUUUUAAUACCUGUGAUGUUCAAUUGUUAUCUUUUUCUUUGGGUUGUCAACAUUGUUUGAUCUUUUCACCAUCUCAAGGAUUCACCUUUUGAACAGUUGAAGACGUAACAACCUCUCUUUUAAAACUAUCUUCAUCAUCAGUAGUAGCUGUUAAACAGCUUAAAUCUCCUUGAUUUUUGAUCUUUAUCCUCUCCUGUAUCUUUACAAUCGUAAUAUCUCACUUUUAUAUCCUGUGUCUGAUAUAAUUUAUUGCCUUCAACAUGCCUGGUAAACGAAAGUUGAGCCAAUUUGAAAGUGAAUUACCCUUGAAGGAAUUUGAUGUCCACCAAGAAUCAAUCAUGGAUUUUGUGUCCAUCAUGUUGAAUCAAGUUGAAAAUGUGGUUAGCGGUGCUGUUACAUCAAGUGAUAUCACAAGUAGCUUGGCAACAACACCACAUGGACCUUCUGGGGAAAUUCAAUUGCCUACAACUGAAACUCCUAGCUGAUUGAAUUCAUAAAUGGUGUUAAAAUCAAGACGAAUCAGACAAAUCGGACAAAUUGGACAAAUCGGACAAAUUACGAGCUUUCAUUGACAUAUUUAACCUAUUCUUUAUUCAUCUACUAUACAAUAUAUUUAUCCCCAUCUAAAUUUAAUGUCAAACACAAUACGAUGACAAAUAUGAAUGAAAAAUUGUGUCAACCUAAUAAUUUUGAUCGAUUUGUUCAUAUCGAUCUAGCUGAAAUACCAUGUGAUACACGACAAAUGAGUGAGAUAAGAAAAAAAAUUCCAUUCAACAUGUCAGCAUUAUUUUCUUUUUGUCAUUGACUUGGAAAAUUCUGAUUAAUACAUGCAUUUUGUACUUUAACUGCAUUAGGUAUUGACCAUGGAAUCACAUUGUAAUCAAUAAAUAUUAAUUUCCUAGCAAAUGAAAAAA